GCCGGUUUGGCGCAGUGGUAACGUAAGUCCACUCUGAACAAUUUCUCAUACCAAAUGCCCUUCUAACAUGGUAAUACAGGCGUCGCACUUGUAAUUAUCAUGCAUAUGCGAAGAUCGGCGGUUCAAUUCCGCCAAUCGGCA
rfam:Pyrenochaeta sp. DS3sAY3a unplaced genomic scaffold IQ07scaffold_1, whole genome shotgun sequence.